CUCUUCUGACUGAGCCAGCCAGCCACCCCUGAACUAACAUUUUGUGGCUCCAAGGAAGGACAAGUCCUACACAUGAGGUUGCAGGGGAAUAAAUUCCCCCCAGCUACAUCCAAAUGGGAUUCUUGAGCCUCUGUCAGCUUGCUCCCUGGUAUUUCCAUCCAAUACCAAAAAGUGAUCCACAUAAGGAGCUCCAGCACCAGCAAAAGUCUAGAGCUCAGAUUUCUUAAAGAGGAAGAAAAGUCACACAGAGAAUCCUACAGAGGAUCCCCUCCCCCCAGCCCCGGCCUGUGCCUAAUUAAGUGAGUGGCUUAAGGGACUUGCCUCCUCUUCAAGAUUAAGAGGAUUCACCCUCAGGUAUCACAUGACACAUUUCCCCACCCAGUGCCUGGAGCUCCAGCCUCUUCCAUGCAGGGAGCACAAGAUCUGUAAAAGCUGCAGACUCCAUAACCUCGCAACACCCAAUCGAGUGGGACAGAAAAUCUCUUCCAGUAGCCUAUGCAAGUGCUGGGGUCCGCUGCCUCUCCCUGGUCUGAUUUAGGUCACAUGGCCGUUGCUGAAACAUCCAUUUGGGAACACGGAUUCACCGAUGGACUUAGUCAAUCGUGCUCACACCUAGAGUAGGCCCGAGAGAAUUCCAGACAAAUCACCCAAGUGAAAAUGAGGUGACUUCUCCCAAGGAACAGCAAGUAACUGUCGGCAGCAGAAAA